GUGGCCCGAUUAGAUAUUAUAUUUUUUAUUAUUUCCUUAUAAGGUCCCGAAAAAAUAUUUGUUACAUACCAUUCUAGGGCCAUAUUAAUAUUGAGGAAAAUGAAUCGGGUCCUACUUAGGACCCUAUAAAUUUUUUUACACGGGAUAUCGCGCCCUUAAACAAAACUGACGAUUAUAAUGCGGCAGUUUUUACGUACGUCACUAACGAAUCUCGUGCAGAAAGUCCUGCAAAUUACCUUCGCGUAAUCCCGUAAAUACCGGUUACAGCGGGGACUUUAAUGCAAGUUUAAUUUCGCGCAAUUAUGCUAUAUUGCGUAAAUUGGCUCUGGUCCAGGAGAUGCAUGUCGUAUGCAUUUCCUCUUCUGCGGAACGGAACAGUGCUAAAAUAAUCAACGAGACUGUUGAGAGACGGUUUACGUAGCAAAGCUUGGAAUUAGUCGCACGUGGCAACAAAAUAUUUUUCAAUCGCAUUAAUUCUACAAAUUUCUGUAACAUGUGUUUUAUUUUUCAGGUUCUCUCUGAGAUCUUUAAUGCCUCUUCCAUUACUUCUGUGGCGUAAUUUUUCGGAGCUUUGAGCCAAACAAAACGCGUUCUCCAACUGGGUCAGUUUAAUACUUUAUAACCAUGAAUCACGAAUCCUUUCGCGAGAAAUUUCGCGCGCAGAACAAAUUACUCCUUUCGAGCUUCUAUUCGGACUUGAUGAUGUAUAACCACAAUUCGCAAUUUCAUCGACUAAAGCGCGCUUUUAUUUAAUGACUUGACUUGUUUAAAUGGCUUUCUCUUCCGAGAAUUUUCAGCCUUCAAAUCUUGGAAUGUUCUCAGUAUAUCUCAAAAUGCAUAAUUUCCAAAGACACCUUUGGUGUAAUUUUAACCUUUCGAUAUGGAUAAAGUACAUACUUUAAAACAUUCGUAACUUUAUCUUGUAUCCUUGUUUGAAUCGUUGUAUCGUUGUUUGAAAAAUGAACAUGUUUCGUAACCGCGUCUAAUCACGUCAAUUAUCCCAAGAGGAAUCCAACUGUGCGUCACGCAAUUCGAAUGUGAGACGAGAGCUUUUUUUCCGCGUUUGUCAACCAGACAAGUGAAUGUAAAUUGCAAAGUGCUCGGGACAUCCCGCCGAGAAUUGCGCUGUUUGCGCCAAUCGCAUUAAGCAACUUUGUAAUCGGAGUCGAUGAAACGAGUUACUUUCGCAGGGAACUCGGAGGACAAGUCGUACUCGUCCGCAAACUUCUCAACGUUCUCAUAGAACACCGGGGCUGCCACUUCGAAAUUUCAUGGAGAGUACACAAAAAUCCAAUUGGACGAAUUAACGCAUCUGUUGAUCUUACGGAUAAUUACGUCGCGAUCGCGCCGCGAUAUCGCCGUGGAUCAUUAAGCUGGAUCCUUCAGAGCGGAGUUUGCGCUAGACGCAGGUAAUACCCCCUACAUCUCCCACUUUACGUGGCUCCCCGGAAAAAA